rnacentral:rRNA from 1 species
UACGUAGGGGGCAAGCGUUGUCCGGAUUUAUUGGGCGUAAAGAGCGUGUAGGCGGCCAGGUAGGUCCGUUGUGAAAACUGGAGGCUUAACCUCCAGCUGUCGAUGGAAACCAUCUGGCUAGAGUCCGGAAGAGGAGAGUGGAAUUCCUGGUGUAGCGGUGAAAUGCGCAGAUAUCAGGAAGAGCACCCGUGGCGAAGGCGGCUCUCUGGGACGGUACUGACGCUGAGACGCGAAAGCGUGGGGAGCGAACAGG